UGGGGAAUCUUGCGCAAUGGGGGAAACCCUGACGCAGCGACGCCGCGUGCGGGAUGAAGGCCUUCGGGUUGUAAACCGCUUUCAGCAGGGACGAGGCCUUAUGGUGACGGUACCUGCAGAAGAAGCUCCGGCUAAAUACGUGACAGCAGCCGCGGUAAUACGUAUGGAGCAAGCGUUAUCCGGAUUCAUUGGGCGUAAAGCGCUCGUAGGCGGUCUGUUAGGUCGGCAAGUUAAAUCCGGGGGCUCAACCCCCGUCCGCUUCCGAUACCGGCAGACUUGAGUUUGGUAGGGGAAGGUGGAAUUCCUAGUGUAGCGGUGGAAUGCGCAGAUAUUAGGAAGAACACCGGUGGCGAAGGCGGCCUUCUGGGCCAUAACUGACGCUGAGGAGCGAAAGCUAGGGGAGCGAACAGG
rnacentral:rRNA from 1 species